AUGAAGAAAGCCAUGACAAGAAUGAUGUCAAACAUUGUCAUGGCAAGAAUGAACCUAAAAGGGAAAAAGAAUAAGAUAGCUUUCCUAAAAACAAAGCUUUACAAAGUGAUCUCAGGAUGCGUAAUGAUGGUGUAUCCUGAGAUCACAGAAACUAAAGUAAAGGAAGAUAUUGGGAAGUUUUUAAAAUAUGCCCCCGAGAGAGCUGGAGGAGGGGGAAGGACCAGCAAAGAUUAAUC